AGGGCGGAGCCGUCUAGUCUUGAGUGACAUCUGCUCAGAGAGGAUGUCCCCGAUUCGCAGCGUUUUUGCUUGUUGCGCAUGCGCACUUGCCCUUGGGGCGGGCCUUUGUGCCAGUGCCUGGGGGCGUCCGGUCUUCGCAGAGCGGGUCGCGGGGUCAGGAACUGGGUGGGGCUUGGCUUUAGUAUUUGCCCUGGAGACCUAAUAUUUGCGCAGGUUUCGUGAAGGGACAGUUUCCUACGAGGAUAUUAGUAGCAGUGUUUUUUAAACUGGAAGAAAGUCAAGAAGAGGUAGGAGAUAAAUGCAGUAAGGAUGCUGUUACUCUUAAUGGAAUUGAAAUCUAACAAGUGUUCUCAGGCAACCUCUGGAGGAAUCCAGCACACAUGGAAUAUCUCCAGCCACCCCACAGCACAUCCCCAGAGCUUCAGCUCAAGAGCAACCCUGUGAGGGUGUAACGUCCCCCUCAAGAAACUGAACAACAGAGAGGCUGUCUCACUCAAGGUCACAGAGGCAUUAAAUAGCAGAGCCAGGACCUGAACCAAGGUCUGCUGGAUCCCAUAGUCC